AUGACAGACUAGGUGGCACAGUUGGAGGGACGUCACUCCACAAGAGGGGGCAAGAGUGGCCUCACUAACUCAACGUCGCCUGUGAAACGCGCCCAUGAUGACCUUUAGCCGGGUGAUUUGGAAACUGCAUUUCCACAAUAAGAUAUUUUUGAGUGAGUUCAUGUGUUGAUACAUCAGUGUUGAACAGGACAUAAUCCUUGCCUUCAAGGAGCUGAUAAUGGAGCUAACGUUGGCAUUUCUUAAUUUGCCUCCUCAUCUGUAGAAGGAAAGUGUGAUGCUGAUGAUAUGUUACCAGCAUUUCAAUGCUCAAAUUUGGAAUCCAGGAGCAGAAUAGAAGUUCAACGUAUUAUUUCCUCACUCUGAUUUUACUAGUGUAUCCUUGAUUCUACAGCA